GGGGGGAGGGGAUCCACGGAGGACAGAGACGGGGAUCCAGACCAGUCAGUCAAGGAUUUUAACUCCAACUGCAUCCUUCAAACCCUCAAGUUUGUCACUGGAGGUUGGGCCGAAGGAAAGAAGAGGGCAGGCAGCUUGGAUUUCUCAUCCUUGCCUGAGAAACUUUACCCUUUUUUGCAUUCCUCUUACUGAAGGAUUUCACUUGCCCCGGCUAACACGGAUCCAGCUAAGAUUACCUGAGUGGUGAAUUUUUAAUGAUUCCCCUGGGAAUUUCAGACGCCAAAAAAAAAAAAAAAAACAAAAAAAGGG